AUUGAACGCUGGCGGCAUGCCUUACACAUGCAAGUCGAACGGUAACGCGGGGCAACCUGGCGACGAGUGGCGAACGGGGGAGUAAUGCAUCGGAACGGGCCCAGAAGUGGGGGAUAGCCCGGCGAAAGCCGGAUUAAUACCGCAUGAGAUCUGAGGGUGAAAGCGGGGGAUCGCAAGACCUCGCGCUUUUGGAGCGGCCGAUGUCAGAUUAGCUAGUUGGUGGGGUAAAGGCCUACCAAGGCGACGAUCUGUAGCUGGUCUGAGAGGACGACCAGCCACACUGGGACUGAGACACGGCCCAGACUCCUACGGGAGGCAGCAGUGGGGAAUUUUGGACAAUGGGCGCAAGCCUGAUCCAGCCAUGCCGCGUGCGGGAAGAAGGCCUUCGGGUUGUAAACCGCUUUUGUCAGGGAAGAAACGCUCUGGGCUAAUACCCUGGGGUAAUGACGGUACCUGAAGAAUAAGCACCGGCUAACUACGUG
rnacentral:rRNA from 1 species